AUUCGGUCUUCAUCUCCGUGCGCCUCUCCCUACCAUUUUCUAAGCAAUUUCUUCACUUCCAACGAGUAAUCCAGCCGAGAAUCUCUUCGAGAAGGAAGAUCACGCAGCCAAAAACCUUCGAAAUUCCUCUUCCAUUUCCUUGUUUGAUGCUUAGUUUUGCAUCUUGGAAAGCAAGCUAAGCCAGGUAACGCUCUUAUCCUCAAAAUUUCGUGUGGGUUGAAAUCGUGCCAUGUAUUAGGGAUUUUUGAAUUUCUGUGCUGGCCGAUUGUUGUGUGGUAGUUUCUAGACUGAUUUCUCAAUUUUUUCCUCUCAUGAUUGUUCUAGUUGGUGGUAACCGAAUAGAGGAAGGAUAAUAUUCUUAUGUUGUGCUCUGUUUUACUCCCAGCCGUGUGCUUUGUAAGGCAUUUUUUAUGUAUCCCUUCCUUGUGUUUUCUUGAGUUUAAAUUAUGUUCUUAGUUAUGUUUAAGCCUUUUUUUUAUGUGUUAAAUUAAUGGAGAUGAGAAUGGGUAUUUUUAAUAUUUUCCCUAAGUUAAUAGUCUUAGUAAGCAACCAAGGAUUUUAUUAAAACUAGUGAUUUUUAUGUUGUAAUUUUCUAGUUUAUAAGGGAUUCACCCUUGCUGUUUUUUGCUAUGUUUAAACAAAAAAAAAAUGAUGUUUCUUGCUAGUUUUCUUCAAUACUAGUGUCCUUAGUCUAUGUAGUUGGGAUUGUGAUUGAAUGGAGGGAUGCUUAAAGGCAUGAAUGCACUAAAGCUACUAGCUGUCUAUGGAGGGCUGUUACAAAUUAUAAUCUCAAUAAAAUUAGAAUACCGUCUUUUUUUUUUUUGUUUUUAAAAAAAACUCUACGCAAUAAAUAUAAACAACUAGUUGUAUAGUCGCAUCAAUAUUUCUCAGGUCUGGGCUCUAGCUAGUCUGUAGGGGCUUGGAAAGAACAAAUUUUAGAGAAUUCUACGUCUGUAUUAACUUUUUAUAAAAGAUCAGUUACAUAUUAACUUGGCAAAUUCAUGAGUUAGCUAGAAAGAAGUCAACUCAUAAAAAAA